rnacentral:rRNA from 1 species
AGAGUUUGAUCCUGGCUCAGGACGAACGCUGGCGGCGUGCUUAACACAUGCAAGUCUACGAGAAAGAGGUAGCAAUAUCUCAAGUAAAGUGGCGCAAGGGUGAGUAAUAUGUAAGUAAUCUACCUAUGGGUUCGGAAUAACGUCGAGAAAUCGGCGCUAAUACCGAAUUAUGCAGCGGCAUCGCAUGAUGAUGUUGUUAAAGUUGUCCCGACUUGUCGGGAUAACUCCUAUAGAUGAGCUUGCAUCUGAUUAGCUAGUUGGUAGGGUAAUUGCCUACCAAGGCUACGAUCAGUAGCUGGUCUGAGAGGAUGAUCAGCCACACUGGAACUGAGACACGGUCCAGACUCCUACGGGAGGCAGCAGUGAGGAAUAUUGGGCAAUGGACGGAAGUCUGACCCAGCAACGCCGCGUGGAGGAUGAAUGCCGUAAGGUUGUAAA